GUGAGGAAUUUUCCGCAAUGGGCGAAAGCCUGACGGAGCAAUGCCGCGUGAAGGAUGAAGGCCUAUGGGUUGUAAACUUCUUUUCUCAGAAAAGAAUUAUGACGGUAUCUGAGGAAUAAGCAUCGGCUAACUCUGUGCCAGCAGCCGCGGUAAGACAGAGGAUGCAAGCGUUAUCCGGAAUGAUUGGGCGUAAAGCGUCAGUAGGUUGUUUAAAAAGUAUUCUGUCAAAGAUUAGGGCUUAACCCUAGAUAGGCAGAAUAAACUUUUAAGCUAGAGGUUGGUAGAGGCAGAGGGAAUUGCCGGUGGAGCGGUGAAAUGCGUAGAUAUCGGGAGGAACACCAAAGGCGAAGGCACUCUGCUGGGCCAAUACUAACACUGAGAGACGAAAGCGAGGGGAGCAAAUGGGAUUAGAAACCCGUGUAGUCC
rnacentral:rRNA from 1 species